GUGCUGGGUCCCAGGUGCGGGUUGAAGGAGUUAUACUACGCGGCACCUCCUGGGUAAGUGAGUCCUGCGGUAGGCCCAGAGCCCGCAUCAAUGUUGCAGCGUCCUUGAGGUCAUGGAUACGGUGUGUGUCAGUCCAAUGUUGGACAAUGAGCAGUCGGUAAAGGUGGCAAAUGUAUCUGAUAUUCUGUCGUUGAAGCAGGAAGUCGAGUGGUCGAAGCGACCUGCGUU